AACACUGUUAACCUGCGGUACCUGCGAGGGAUCAUUAUCGAGUGUAACCUACCCCGUAAAAAAGGGUGGUACCUCCCGUCCUUUGCAGGCCCCCCUUUUGAUGGGGGGCUUUUUAAGACUUUCUGCUUCGGCGGGGUUACUCCCGCCGGAACACCCUCAAAAAACUCUUGAUCAAAAACCGUUCAGUCCGAGAAUUUUUGAAAAUUAAAAAAAAAACUUUUAACAACGGAUCUCAGAUCG
rnacentral:misc_RNA from 1 species